UACGUAGGGUGCGAGCGUUGUCCGGAAUUAUUGGGCGUAAAGAGCUUGUAGGCGGUUUGUCGCGUCUGCCGUGAAAAUUCGAGGCUCAACCUCGAACUUGCGGUGGGUACGGGCAGACUAGAGUGCGGUAGGGGAGAUUGGAAUUCCUGGUGUAGCGGUGGAAUGCGCAGAUAUCAGGAGGAACACCGGUGGCGAAGACGGGUCUCUGGGCCGUAACUGACGCUGAGGAGCGAAAGCGUGGGGAGCGAACAGG
rnacentral:rRNA from 1 species